rnacentral:rRNA from 1 species
CGACCGGCGCACGGGUGAGUAACACGUAUGGAACCUGCCCUAUGCAGGGGGAUAAGCGGAAGAAAUUCCGUCUAAUACCGCAUAACACCUUUAGGAGACAUCUUCUUGGGGUCAAAGGAGGCGACUCCGGCAUAGGAUGGCCAUGCGUCGCAUUAGCUAGUCGGCGGGGUAACGGCCCACCGAGGCGACGAUGCGUAGGGGUUCUGAGAGGAAGGUCCCCCACACUGGUACUGAGACACGGACCAGACUCCCUACGGAAGGCAGCAG